AACGAACGCUGGCGGCAGGCUUAACACAUGCAAGUCGAACGCAUCCUUCGGGGUGAGUGGCAGACGGGUGAGUAACGCGUGGGAACGUGCCCUUCAGUUCGGAAUAACCCAGGGAAACUUGGGCUAAUACCGGAUACGUGCGAGAGCAGAAAGAUUUAUCGCUGAAGGAUCGGCCCGCGUCUGAUUAGCUAGUUGGUGAGGUAAUGGCUCACCAAGGCGACGAUCAGUAGCUGGUCUGAGGGGAUGAUCAGCCACAUUGGGACUGAGACACGGCCCAAACUCCUACGGGAGGCAGCAGUGGGGAAUAUUGGACAAUGGGCGCAAGCCUGAUCCAGCCAUGCCGCGUGAGUGAUGAAGGCCUUAGGGUUGUAAAGCUCUUUCAGUGGGGACGAUAAUAACGGUACCCGUAGAAGAAGCCCCGGCUAACUUCGUGCCAGCAGCCGCCGUAA
rnacentral:rRNA from 1 species